rnacentral:rRNA from 1 species
AGAGUUUGAUCCUGGCUCAGGACGAACGCUGGCGGCGUGCUUAACACAUGCAAGUCAUGGGGGUCUUGCCUUUCGGGGCGAGGCAACCGGCGAACGGGUGCGUAACACGUGAGCGACCUGCCGCGGUGUGGGGGAUAGCCGGCCCAACGGCCGGGUAAUACCGCAUGGGCUCUGUAGGGGGCAUCCCCUGGGGAGCAAAGCCCUUUCGGGGGCGCACUGUGAGGGGCUCGCGGCCUAUCAGCUAGUUGGCGGGGUGACGGCCCACCAAGGCGACGACGGGUAGCUGGUCUGAGAGGAUGGCCAGCCACAUUGGGACUGAGAGACGGCCCAGACUCCUACGGGAGGCAGCAGUGGGGAAUCUUGCGCAAUGGCCUACGAGGCUGACGCAGCGACGCCGCGUGUGGGAGGACGCCCCUCGGGGUGUAAACCACUGUCGCCCGGGACGAAGGGUCAGCAUCGGCUGACCGUGACGGUACCGGGCGAGGAAGCACCGGCUAACUCCGUGCCAGCAGCCGCGGUAAUACGGAGGGUGCGAGCGUUGUCCGGAAUCACUGGGCGUAAAGGGCGCGUAGGCGGCCACCGCAAGGCCCGUGUGAAAGCCCGGGGCUCAACCCCGGGUCGGCGCGGGCGACUGCGGGGCUAGAGGGCGCGGUAGAGGCCGGUGGAAUUCCGGGUGUAGCGGUGGAAUGCGUAGAGAUCCGGAAGAACACCAGUGGCGAAGGCGGCCGGCUGGGCCGCGGCCGACGCUGAGGCGCGACAGCGUGGGGAGCAAACAGGAUUAGAUACCCUGGUAGUCCACGCCGUAAACGAUGGGCACUAGGUGCCGGGGGGAGCGACCCCGCCGGUGCCGGCGCUAACGCAUGAAGUGCCCCGCCUGGGGAGUACGGCCGCAAGGCUGAAACUCAAAGGAAUUGACGG